GCUACUUUGUUAAAUCUACUAGGUGCUUUGUAACUUCAACAAAUCUACCUAGAGUGAUGGCUUCUCUGACCAACGCGCCGAAAUGCCGCGCACCUUUUUACUAGGUAGAUUUGUUGAAAUUACUAAAUGCAUUGUAAUUUUAACAAAUCUGCCUAGUAAAAAGAUGCGCGGCGUCUCGGCGCGCUGGCUUGAGAAGCCAUCAUUUCCUUGGAAAAACAAGCCUCGUGUGGACGCUUGUGCGUCGAUUUUAGGCUAAUUGAAGUUUAAUUGGCGUUUUGGAUUGGAUUCUGACUGCCUGACGGAAAAUUCAACAUCCGACUAUGCUCCGGAAGACAAAGACACCACCUUGACGAGGUCGCAUAAAACGUCAACCGUUUAAGGAGUUUUGGAAAUCAUUGAAUGAAUAUAUCAGAGCCUGAGGAUACGCGCAAAUGCAGCAAGAUUUCAACUCAGUUUAAGUGAAGGACCUGGACUUAUACUUGCGGCCUAAAUUUAUCUAGGAACUGGUCUCAAGAAAUUUCUCACUAAGAUUCCACCGCAUAGCCAACACAUAGUCAACAUUUCCGAACAGCCGUGAUAUUAUGUGAGAUAAUCAAGUGAAUCAAACUUGACUGCAUCAGACUGGACAUCACUGAACAACGGAAAGUGAAAUAAUGAUGAAAAAGUGCAACAAGAUGUUGAUAAGUACAAAAAUCAGUUUCUUAUUACCUAUUAUUUUUUAAUCGUUUUGUUCAGUGCUAAUUGUAAGUAGAUU